AGAGUUUGAUCCUGGCUCAGAGCGAACGCCGGCGGCAGGCCUAACACAUGCAAGUCGAACGGAUCCUUCGGGAUUAGUGGCGGACGGGUGAGUAACACGUGGGAACGUGCCCUUUGGUUCGGAACAACUCAGGGAAACUUGAGCUAAUACCGGAUGUGCCCUUCGGGGGAAAGAUUUAUCGCCAUUGGAGCGGCCCGCGUCUGAUUAGCUAGUUGGUGGGGUAAAGGCCCACCAAGGCGACGAUCAGUAGCUGGUCUGAGAGGAUGAUCAGCCACAUUGGGACUGAGACACGGCCCAAACUCCUACGGGAGGCAGCAGUGGGGAAUCUUGCGCAAUGGGCGAAAGCCUGACGCAGCCAUGCCGCGUGAAUGAUGAAGGUCUUAGGAUUGUAAAAUUCUUUCACCGGGGACGAUAAUGACGGUACCCGGAGAAGAAGCCCCGGCUAACUUCGUGCCAGCAGCCGCGGUAAUACGAAGGGGGCUAGCGUUGCUCGGAAUUACUGGGCGUAAAGGGAGCGUAGGCGGACUGUUAAGUUAGAGGUGAAAGCCCAGGGCUCAACCUUGGAAUUGCCUUUGAUACUGGCAGUCUUGAGUACGGAAGAGGUAUGUGGAACUCCGAGUGUAGAGGUGAAAUCCGUAGAUAUUCGGAAGAACACCAGUGGCGAAGGCGACAUACUGGUCCGUUACUGACGCUGAGGCUCGAAAGCGUGGGGAGCAAACAGGAUUAGAUACCCUGGUAGUCCACGCCGUAAACGAUGAGUGCUAGUUGUCGGCAUGCAUGCA
rnacentral:rRNA from 1 species